rnacentral:rRNA from 1 species
GACGAACGCUGGCGGCGUGCUUAACACAUGCAAGUCGAACGAAGUGGCGAACGGGUGAGUAACGCGUAAUCAACCUGCCCUUCAGAGGGGGACACCAGUUGGAAACGACUGCUAAUCCCGCAUACUGAAGGAGUGGAUUGCGUCUGAUUAGCUAGUUGGAGGGGCAAUGGCCAACCAAGGCGAUGAUCAGUAGCCGGUCUGGGAGGAUGGACGGCCACAUUGGGACUGGGACACGGCCCAGACUCCUACGGGAGGCAGCAGUGGGGAAUCUUCCGCAAUGGACGAAAGUCUGACGGAGCAACGCCGCGGGGGUGAUGACGGCCUUCGGGUUGUAAAGCUCUGUUAAUCGGGACGCGGUACCGGAAUAGAAAGCCACGGCUAACUACGUGCCAGCAGCCGCGGUAAUUC